AAGGCCUGAGUCAGAAACCUCCGAUGGAUCCAGGCAGCAAGCAGCAGUGGCUCAUAGCGGAAUGUUGCCCCGGGCAGUAAUAUCUCAGCAGCAGAAUCAAUUCCAGCCAUCUGGACCUGGCAUGCACGACCAACCACCACCUAUGCAGUACUUUAAUAUCCCACCUCCACCUCAGAUGGAUAGAGCCUACUAUCCAUCAAUGGACCCUCAAAGAAUGGGUGCUCUGGUUCCGUCUCAGGACGGGGAGAACAAACCCGGAUCAGAUAAACAACAAGCACAACACUAUCCUUACCAAGGUAUGCCGCCGCCGCCACCUGGACAAUAUCCUCAUCAACAUUAUCCGCCAUAUGGGUACAUGCAACCAAUGCCACCUUAUCAACAGUAUCCACCAUACCAUUCAGCAAUGCCUCCACCUCGAGGCCCACCUCAACAUUAUCAACACCCUGGACCUCCAAGACCUUCACCACCUGUGAGUGCACCAGCUUCAACAAGCGCGCAACCACCACCAGCAUCUACUUCAUCAGGCUCUGCCCCACCACCACCACCACCGGCGCCCGUCCCAUCUGCUGCUGCAUCUGGAUCUUCUCAGCUAUGAAGGUUUUCCCGUACUGUUUGUUUUUGAUAAUGUAAGCAUAAAACUUUUUAACCCCCG
rnacentral:lncRNA from 1 species